rnacentral:rRNA from 1 species
UACGAAGGGGGCUAGCGUUGCUCGGAAUCACUGGGCGUAAAGGGUGCGUAGGCGGGUCUUUUAAGUCAGGGGUGAAAUCCUGGAGCUCAACUCCAGAACUGCCUUUGAUACUGAGGAUCUUGAGUUCGGGAGAGGUGAGUGGAACUGCGAGUGUAGAGGUGAAAUUCGUAGAUAUUCGCAAGAACACCAGUGGCGAAGGCGGCUCACUGGCCCGGAACUGACGCUGAGGCACGAAAGCGUGGGGAGCAAACAGG